GGGAUAGCCUUUCGAAAGAAAGAUUAAUACCCGAUGGUAUAACAUGACCUCCUGGUUUUGUUAUUAAAGAAUUUCGGUAGAGGAUGGGGAUGCGUUCCAUUAGGCAGUUGGCGGGGUAACGGCCCACCAAACCUUCGAUGGAUAGGGGUUCUGAGAGGAAGGUCCCCCACAUUGGAACUGAGACACGGUCCAAACUCCUACGGGAGGCAGCAGUGAGGAAUAUUGGUCAAUGGGCGAGAGCCUGAACCAGCCAAGUAGCGUGAAGGAUGACCGCCCUAUGGGUUGUAAACUUCUUUUAUAUGGGAAUAAAGUCUGCCACGUGUGGCAUUUUGUAUGUACCAUAUGAAUAAGGAUCGGCUAACUCCGUGCCAGCAGCCGCGGUAAUACGGAGGAUCCGAGCGUUAUCCGGAUUUAUUGGGUUUAAAGGGAGCGUAGGUGGACAUGUAAGUCAGUUGUGAAAGUUUGCGGCUCAACCGUAAAAUUGCAGUUGAUACUGCGUGUCUUGAGUACAGUAGAGGUGGGCGGAAUUCGUGGUGUAGCGGUGAAAUGCUUAGAUAUCAC
rnacentral:rRNA from 1 species